AGACAAUCGCGGCUGUCAGCUCCUUUUAGGGGCGGCAGACGAGGAAAGUCCGGGCUUCACAGGGCAGGAUGCCGGAUAACGUCCGGUGGAGGUGACUCCAAGGAAAGUGCAACAGAAAUAAACCGCCCCAAAGCCUGCGCAGAGUGCGCUUCAGUCUGCAGAGUAUGAGAUUUCCUGUGCGUAUUCUGCGCAGGCUUUGGGGUAAGGGUGGAAAGGCAGUGUAAGAGACUACCGCCUUGCUGGUAACAGGAAGGGCAUAUGUAAACCCCAUCCGAAGCAAGACCAAAGGCAGGCAAUGUGGCUGCCCGUCACGCCUCAGGUAGGUCGCUUGAACCUGGCGGCGACGCCAGGUCUAGAUAGAUGAUUGUCCAACGACAUAACCCGGCUUAUCGUUUUGCUUA
rnacentral:RNase_P_RNA from 1 species